CUAGCUCCGUGGAAAAUAUCGAUAUAUUGAAUCAGAAAGACAUCCAUGGAAAUACACCUCUUCAUAUACUAAUUAUCCGUGAGGGUUGUUAUGUACCUGAAUUCAUUAAAAGUGUCAGCAUUGAUAAAAAUGCAACAAACAAUGAUGGGUGGACUCCUGUAGACAUGUUAUAUUUCAGUAAGAACGUCACGGACGACCAGGUACGAAUUAGAAUAGAAAUCGAUAAUAUCCAAGCUAAACACAAGUGGAAAUUUUGGCACAGAAGCAUCAAAUUACAUAACCCGAGUCCAGUGCCCUUUGGAAUCAGGUUCGGAAAGGAACCUGAAUUUAUAAAAGCUAAGAGAUUACUGAUUGAAGGAGAGAUUAAAAGGAAGAAAGAUGAGUUUAAACUGGUGAAAGAUGAUCUUGAAAGGUAUAGGCAAAGAACCAACACACAGAUCAUAGUUACCGCGCGCUUAUAACUACGGUAACCUUUACCGUCGGAUUUACUUUGCCAGGAGGUUACCAUGAGAGUGGAGAACCCGAUCAAGGUUUGGUACUUCUUUCUAGGAAAACUGCUUUUAAGGCAUUCAUGAUCUCAGAUGCUUUAGCUCUAAUGUUGUCGACUUGUUCUUUAUUUUUCUACUAUGUAUGAUGAUCCACUCCAAGUGUCAAAACUGAAUGCUGCAUCAACUGUCCUCAUUAUUGUUUCCGUCAUUGGAAUGAUGUUGACAUUUAUCACUGGAACAUAUGUUGUAUUGUUCCACUCACCAGCCUUGGCGAUUACCGUGUGCCUAAUCUGUUGCUUUUUCUUCAUUCUCGUCAUUGUUCAGUCGAUCAAGAUGAUUUAUGAUCGUAGACUAACAAAGAUUCAUAUAGUUUGAGUUUCUUUUUUAUUA